rnacentral:lncRNA from 1 species
CAUGUAUAAUUGUAGGUGUCUAUUCUUACUUUAAAACUUCUGAGGAGCCCAAACAACUCUACCUUAACCUAACUUCAUCUGAAUAAGCUUUUGACAGGUCAAAAUAUCUUUCAAGGAAAACUUUUUUUUUAUUAAUAUUAUAACCAGUCAUUUUAUGCUGACCGCAAACAGCAGGAAUGUACAAGGGCAAUAUCAAGACUUUACUAACUGGUCUUGGCUGAUCUUGCAGAAGUAGCUGCAAGCUGUAAUGUUGCAGCAUUUUCUCCUUUAAUGUCUUCUUCGUCUUCUUCUUUUUUUUUUUUAAUAACAUACGUAAUUAGCUUUCCAUUGUUGGUUGUGAAUCUCAGCUUGCUCUCUUUCAUCAGACCUUGUUUUGUUCCUGUUUACUGAGAGUUCUGACUAGAGGAAGUUGCUAGUAAAUUCAUUUGUGGCUAGAUUUCUGCCUUGCCUAAACUCUUGUUUUACUUUCAAUCCCAGAAUCGUCUUGAUCAUAUUUAAACCUCAGAGACUCUUUUUUUCUUUUAUCCUUCUUACCUACAGCCUAGACCUUGCAUUCUCCCUAAAACCUCCAUUGAUCCAUUUAAAGUCCUCAAAAGAAUGGAUGAAUGGAUAGCACAUUCAGACCUGUAAUAGCAUCUACUGGAGAAAACCUAGAGUUGGGAGGAGCAAUAGGAGAAUUGAGUUCCUAAUUGACCUUCAUUUCUGGAGCAGAGCGCAGAAAUAUAACUGCUGAAUGAAGGCUCUAGGAAAGGACCGUGAUCCUUGGUAUACAAUUUUUAAGGUAGAUUAUUGGAGAAUGUAUCAGUCCUUCUUCUGUUAGGAUCAGAGUUUAGGAUCUAAGCCUUAGGGUUACAACUGUAUGCUAUGGUGGAAACUGGACCUCCAGCCUUGUUCUAUCCCCUCAGUAUUUUAUAUAGGUAUUUGCUAAAGCUUCUCUCAACAGAGCACUAGCCACCUUUCUGAGGAACCUCCCUGCUUUCUCAUCCUAGUUUACUUUUUGUCUCUCACACUAAGGUGGCCAUUUAUAGCAGAGAGCAAAUGUUGCCUUAGUCCACUUGUAAUCAUAAUCCCAUGUUCCUCUUAACAAAGUAUCUAGUCAUUAGUUCUAAAGAAGGUGGUCAGUAGGACAUCAUUCUGUGUUCCACAUCAAAUUUUUUGUCUCAGUUUUGUCACAGACUCAUUCAAGAGCAUUUCACCCUGAUGAUAGAGUUGGAGAGGCUCUAUCAACUAUAUAUAUCUAAAAUAAAUUGAUGAACAAUUUAUUUUGAAUAUAUAGAUAUGAUGGAUUGGUUUUUAUAACCUGAAAACUUUAAUUAAAAAAAGCAAUUGCUAGCAUUUCACAUACGAAAUCUCCCUUAAAAAUUCAGAUUUCUGGCUUCUUUCAAAAAAUUCAAAGAUUUUGCCUCAUUGAGCUUGUGUUUCUUCUUGGCAGCAGUCAGAGGGAGGUCAGUGUUGCCUGUCUCCUUUAGACAGGUAUUCUUCAGUUUCCACAUUUCCCUGACCCAGCAGUCACUUGUAUUACUUGCCUAGCUCCUGUGGUCAUUUGAGUCUGCACCUUUUGUUUUAGACACCCACUGCAGGAAUAGCUGCUGACAUAUUGUUCUUAUCGUGUCUGUCUAAUCUAAAGAUACAAAAAUGGAACAGAUUAACAGUUAUAACAAUAUUGUUUCUAACAUUUUUUUUUUCAGUUUUUGCUGCAGACAUGGAAAUUUGCUAGAAGUAUUUAUAUAAGUUGUUGAAGGGCAAGUAUCUUAUUUCCAUACGAACUGAGUUGCUUGUUCAAAAUCUUUGCUGCUUUGGGCAGGGGCAGGGUUAGUGAGGACAUAUCCUGCUGCUUCUGUCCGCACAUGAAACAUUUUACACAAUUUUGAUUCCAGGUGGAGUACUUGAGAAAUAAUGAGAAUAUUGCUUAGAAGGAAUGGUGUCUGUCUUGAACGGACACAAAGAAAUGUGUAGUAACUGACUUGAGAAUAAACAGACUCUUUAAAAGUUUGUUUUAUCAUGAGGGACGACAUCGUGAGAGAGCAGUUUAGUGGAGUCCUACAAAGCACCGGCCCUGACUGACCCCGGAUUCAGAGGCUGCUCACCUUCCUAGAAUGUUUAUACCUGGAGGGAGUAGGGGAAAAUGAAGAUGCAUGCCAGAAACUGAAUCAAAAGUGGUCAUGUUUCUGUUGCUUUCCUGAAAAUCUGAAGAGUCUUUAUGUGAGGUCUUGAUACUUUGUUUUAUAUUUAUUUUGACUUCUAAAUUGAGACAAGAUAUUAAAAGCAUAUGUUAUAGAGUGAGCAUCUGAGGAAAUAUUCUAAUUUUGAAUUGGAGUUCCUAUUGUGGCUCAGCAGUUAAUGAACCUGACUAGGAUCCAUAAGGAUGUGGGUUUGAUCCCUGGCCUCACUCAGUGGGUUAAAGAUUCGGCGUGACUGUGAGCUGUGGUGUAGAUCACAGAUGCGGCUCAGAUCCCAAGUUGCUGUGGCUGUGAUGUAGGCUGGCAGCUACAGCUCUGAUUCGACCUGUAGCCUGGGAAUCUCCAUAUGCCAGGGGGGUGGCCCUAAAAAGGAAAAAAAAAGAGUAGGGUGAGUGUGGAGCAGUAAAUGAGAGAGAGAGAAAAUAGGGGGCAGGGAGAGAAAGAGAAGGAGAGAAUGUGUGAGUGUGUGCGUAUUGUGUAGAACUGUAGAGUUUCAGGGAAGAAUUGAGACUGAAUUGGAAAUAAUGCACGGCACGUGUGAGUUGUAACUGACUCUAGAGUUGAAAUGCAAAGCCUUCUCUUGCUACUUGUUCUGCACAUCUCUCCUGGCUGCUACUUACAUGUACGUAUUUUUUGAGUCUUUUAAAGAGUUUUAAGGUAGAGUAAUUGAUCAAAACAUUAACAAUAACUCAAAAGUUGGGACAAAUCACAGUUUCAAUGACUUUUAUUUUAUUUUUUUUUCCUUUUUAGGGCUGCACUAGUGGCAUAUGGAAAUUCCCAGGCUAGGGGUCAAAUCAGAGCUGGAGCCAUUAGCCUACGCCACAGCUGCACAGCAAUGUGGGAUCCGAGCCAUGUCUAUGACCCAUACCACAGCUCAUGGCAACGACAAAUCCUUAACCCACUGAGCGAGUCCAAGGAUGGAACCCGAAUCCUCAUGGGUCUUAGUUGGGUUCGUUAACUGCUGAGCCAUGAAGGGAACUCCUCAAUGACUUUUAGAAAACUGUUGAUAUGAAUGUGGAGUGUCUGGCAUCUGAAAGGCAAAUGGGGCAGAGCUGCUAGCAGAUUGUAGACAGUUCAUUUCCAAAGACAUGCAGUUAUUUCAGUGUUGGCUGGAGUCUGCAAGUGCUGCAGUGAAGUAUCCGUUUCCUUUUUAUCUUCGACUUAUAACAAACCAAACAAAAAUUACACUACGUUUUGCAGACAUCAGUUGCCUUUCAUGAUGAAAUCAAAGAUGUUUAAUUUGAGCUCUUAAUAUGCAAAUUUUAUUUAUAAAAAAUUUAAAUGAUUAUAUUCCUGUAAAAUACUUUUAUUCAUAACUUGAAGAUAAAAAUAUGCUAUUUAGUUAGUCGAAAGACAAUCUAAAGUAACACAUUAAUGGUAAACAAUGUACUACAAUGUAUGUCAGCCUGGUCUUUGCAUUUCUAUACUAAAUAUUAAGGGGGAUAAACUUUAAUUCAUAUGUUUACAAGCUAAUCUUUAAUUGAAAUAGUUGUUAAUCUCAAUGUGGGAACUUGAAUAUUCUAUGAUUUAAAAUCAGAUCUAAAGUUGUGAAAUACUAUACCACUAUUGGUUUUGAGUGAGCAAAACGGAAUUCAGAGUAAUAGUUACAUGUAUAAUGUACUUUGUAGUCAUAACUUCAUCUUUACUAUUGUAUAGCUAAAGAUUAAUCUUUUUGACAUGACUUACAGAAGGUGUUCUUUAGUAGAGCUCAUGCAGAGCUAUUUGACACUUUGAAAGAAAGUGCUUCUCUUGGUGGGAAAGACAUCCAUCCAUUUCACUGAGCUCGCUUUCAUGUGGAACCAAAGUAAUUAGAUGUCUGGCUUUAGUAGUACAGUAUUAAGUCUUAUCUUGAGGACACCUAAGGUUUAUGUAAUACCCAGGCAUCAAUCAAUUAGACUCAGAAAAAAACAAGUCAAUUUUAUGAGUCUGCAUGAGUCAGGCAUUUGAUUAUCCUGAGAAAACGGGGUCUGGUUCUUUUCAGUGAAGCUUUCCUUCUGCAGUCGAUUAACUGUUGACUCUUGUUCUAUUGACCCUCACUAAUUUUGUUGCAUGAUCUGUCAUUCCUUAUCUGGACUGAGAGGGAGAUCCCUCUGUAAAUAUCAACAACUGAUGAGGUUAAGAGAGGGCGCCAUCUGUUCUGGAAUGGAUUUUCAUAGUGUGUGUCUGUGGAGAGUGAUUCUUGAGCCUGCAGCCUAAUACAUUUUCUAAGACCAGAUUACGAAUUAUAGCUCUCUCUUGUACACAUAAAACAAUUAUUGGUCAACCAGCACCAAUAUAGAUAUUUAUAAAUUAGAAGUUGACUUUGUCUUUAUUCUUUUAUUUUUUUACAUUAUAUUUGUACUAAUGUAAAAUCAUGCCUUUAUAUGGAAAUAGAGUUUAGAGACUCAAAUAAAUUGCCAACUAAGGAUUAGCUGGUGCAGUUUCAUUUUACUCUCACUUUUUUUUAAAUAAAAAAAUUUAGUGGCUUGUUUAAAACAACAACUUUGGAUCUAAUCCUUUAAUUAGUAUAGACAGUAAACUCACUUAAAAUCUCUGCUGCUGGUUUUAUGUUCUUUGUUAGAUAUAAUUUGGAUCUCUAUAUCCAUUCUCCCGAGCCUCUAAAAUUUUUUUGUUUUAUAUCUUAUUUCUAUAAUAAAUGUAAGAAAAUUUUUUCUAAAUUCUAGUUGAAUUAUAUGUUACAUAUUAGACACAGAAUGUGGAAUUUGCUGGAAUAAACUUAUUGCUGAAUGAGCUGUCCAGAGUGGCAUAUGAUCAUCACUGCUGAAUAUUUCUCCUCGACUGGAUUUCUUGUCACCUCAGGUCAAACUGAAAUGUGACAUUUACAAACCAUGAAGCAUUAUAUCCAAAUAAGUUGGACAUUCUAGAAAGGAGAGAUAGUGUAGGCUUAAGAGUGCAGACUGCCCCACAUAAUAUUUGUAAAGUGGAGAUACUAAGAAUUUAUUUAGUUCUUAUCUGAGCCUGAAGAACUUCGUUUUUUGCUUCUCUCCAACACCUGCCUGUACUCUUACUGGGUAAAAUCAUGAGCAGAUUCCUGAACAUCCUGUCUUAUUCCUCAUCUUUACUCCAUCGUUGUUUCCUCUACCCCCUAGAAACUUUUUCCUCUUAGUCUACGUGGUCUUCUCUUCAAGACAAAUUUCGUGCUUUUUUUUUUUUUUUUUCCUGUGAAACCUCUGACUAGGGUAAAGAACUCCUUCCUUUGUGCCACUACUGAUCAAAUAUUACAGUCUUUGUCACACUGUGUAAUUAUUUUGCUGACAUGCAAGUCUCAUUUUUAAGAUUGUAAAAUCCAUGUACUCAAUAAACCUUGAGUGAAUG